rnacentral:lncRNA from 1 species
UGCAAAUGUUUGCACCUGUCCUAAGUCAGGAAUCUGAUGUACAGUAGUUGUCGUUUGUUUAUGUAAUAUAUACGUGUUUCUCGUUUCUCGUUUUGUUUAUAUAGAUUAGACCGUUGGUUUUCCCGUUUGAAUGGUUUUACACUAGUAAUUUUGGGGCCCUUUAUAGCUUGUUGUUCGGUGUGAGCCAAAGCUCCGUGUUGAAGGCCGUACUGUAACCUAUAAUGGUUUACUUUUUAAAUUGUUAUUUGUAUGGAGAGUUGUCUCAUUGGCACUCACACCACAUCUUCCUAUAUCUAUUUUAAUAGGACAAAGU